AUUGAACGCUGGCGGCAGGCCUAACACAUGCAAGUCGAGCGAGCGGCGGACGGGUGAGUAAUGUAUGUGGAUCUGCCCGAUAGAUGGGGAUAACUACUGGAAACUGUUGCUAAUUCCGCAUACUAUCGGAUGAAUCCAUAUGGGAUUAGCUAGUAGGUGGGGUAAAGGCUCACCUAGGCGACUAUCUCUAGCUGGUCUGAGAGGAUGAUAAGCCACACUGGGACUGAGACACGGCCCAGACUCCUACGGGAGGCAGCAGUGGGGAAUAUUGCACAAUGGGCGCAAGCCUGAUGCAGCCAUGCCGCGUGUAUGAAGAAGGCCUUAGGGUUGUAAAGUACUUUCAGCGGGGAGGCGUUACCCGCAGAAGAAGCACCGGCUAACUCCGUGCCAGCAGCCGCGGUAAUUC
rnacentral:rRNA from 1 species